CCUACGGGAGGCAGCAGUGAGGAAUAUUGGUCAAUGGGCUUACGCCUGAACCAUCCCCGUCGCUUCCCUUCCUCCUUCCCUCUUUUUUUUCAACCUCUUUUGUCAUGGAGCAACGCCGGCUACGUGUAGCCGCACUGAGAGUACCUGAAGAAAAAGCAUCGGCUAACUCCGUGCCAGCAGCCGCGGUAAUACGGAGGAUGCGAGCGUUAUCCGGAUUUAUUGGGUUUAAAGGGUGCGUAGGCGGAAUGCCAAGUCCGCGGUAAACUCGCGGGGCUCAACCGCGCUCCGCCGUUGAAACUGGCGGUCUUGAGUGGGCGAGAAGUAUGCGGAAUGCGUGGUGUAGCGGUGAAAUGCAUAGAUAUCACGCAGAACUCCGAUUGCGAAGGCAGCAUACCGGCGCCCAACUGACGCUGAAGCACGAAAGCGUGGGUAUCGAACAGGAUUAGAUACCCUGGUAGUC
rnacentral:rRNA from 1 species